rnacentral:lncRNA from 1 species
AGUAGAAGGAUAACAUGACAUAGCAGGAAUAAUACUGCCUUUUCUUUCUGGCAUGGAUCAAGAGAAAAGAAAAUACAAGAAAACAGACAGAAGCAAGGCAAGGUACUUCUAUGGAAGGGUGAGCCCUCACAGAUGGAGCAAUGGGGCGCGCACACCUGAACAAGGGAGGGGAAGGAGUUCUUAUCCCUGAUGCAUGUGACCCCUGCUGCUGUGUCCUUCCCCUAUUGGCUAAGGUUAGACCACACAGCCUAAACUAAUUCCGAUUGGCUAAUUCAAAGAGAGCGACGGGGGCUUCUGACAGCUUUGGAGAUUGUGACAUUGGAAUAAAGGAAAAACGUACAGGACUCAUGAAGCGCUGAAAUGUUCACAAAUAUCAAGCAAAAGUCAAUGAAAUUUAUUUUGAGCUAUUUACAUCAUUUAAUAAUUGAGCAAGGUAUACUCCUAUGAACAAAAUUUGGAGCAUGUUUGUCUCUCUCUGCCUGGCGUCUUCAGAAUUUGGAAACUAGUUAUGGUUUAUAAUCAGCUAUAGAAUUUUAACACGUGCUCUCAAAUGCAAGUUUCUGAUAACUUUGGAGAUUGUGACAUUGGAAUAAAGGAAGAGCUGGAAUGUUCAUGAAUAUCAAGCAAAAGUCAUGGAAAUUUAUUUUGAGCUAUUUACAGCAUUUAAUAAUUGAGCAAGGUAUACUCCUAUGAACAAAAUUUGGAGCAUGUUUGUCUCUCUCUGUCUGCCUGGCAUCUACAGAAUUUGGAAACUAGUUGUGCUGUACUGCAUGAGAAUGCCUGCAUUUAGUAUGCGAACUGGAAUUGGCAAAGGACGAUGGCUGCUCUCCCGCUAACUUUAAAUAAGUCAUGUCACAAAUUGCAUUCGUUCCCAGAUUUCCUAAACUUUCCAGAGAAAAUGGUCUUCUCCCUGGCUCAGCAAGAAGAUGAACUUUAAACACUGAGAAACUGGUCAUCUCCCUGGCUCAACCAGAAGAUGAACUUUAAACACUACUCUCAAUGACUUGAUGUUCCCAUCACUACUCCUGUCAUAAAGGGAGGGGACUCAGAUAUUGAGAAUUUUAUGAUAGUGUGAACUGUCUGGUAUGUCAUUUAAGUAAGCCCGUUGCUGAAAUAUUUUCCAUGUUAUUAGAAAGAGCUGAAGAGAGGGAUUGAGAUGGCUUCUUUAUUUUUUGUCUUUUGGGAAUUAAAGGAACCUGGUUCAACAAGGGCCUACACCUAAGUCUCUUGUUGUACCAGAGUACAAUUUAGGACUGCUCCUGAGGAAGGAAUUAGCUAGAAAUCUAGAGAGUAAGGGUAACAGAUUUACAUAGAAUAACAGCCUCAGUAUUUUUGGUUCCUCUCCAGUAAAGAUCACAAAGAAUAUUGCUAAAUCGCUAAAACACCUUUGCAAUAACGUAAGGGCUUACAACUAUAUACCAAUGUAGCUCAGUUACUAAACUGGAGUAAACUAAUUUCUCUUGUGUAGAAAAAUUGGUUGGCUGUGGUUUUAUAGCAGAUCUGCAAUUAUUAAUAGUUAUGCCAAUAAUCGUUUAACAGUGCAUAUGUUAAUAUAUAUGGAAAGACAAUGUGUAUAGACAGAUGUGUAAAAUUGAAAAAUAAACAUAUAACAAGAGAGAAACAUCUAUCGAACAGACAAUAUACAUACACAUCAAACACAACAGCAGUUUUAGUGACCAUAAUAUUUAUUUCUCAUUUUUACAUUGCUUACUUUAGUGACAACUGAAAAUGACAGUUGGCAAUGCAGCUAACAGUUUCAAUAAAAGUAUAAAACAAAAGACUGUGUACAAAGCACCUGUCUUUCCGCUUUUGUAAUCUUCCGUUGGAAAAAAUUUACACACCUAAGUAACCAUCUGUUUUCUUCAAGAAAAAAUCAUUCUUAUUUCUCUCUCUCAUCUUGAAAACAGCUGUCAGCCAGGAGGGCAGAGCUGAAAUUUAUUGCCACAUCACAUGAAGCAUAGAACAGACUCCACUACUCCUUGAGAUUCAAAACUUUGCCUCUCACAAAGUUACCUUUUAUUUUCCUCUUGUUUGUCACUCAUCUCCCCUAGUGUGCUCUUUUUAUUUCUUUUACUAUUAAUAAUAAAAUCUGUGGAUGACUGUAUUAUUGAAUGAUUACCUUAGUACAAUAAUUCAAGAAGUAUUUGAAUAUUGCAUCAUUGGCUUUAGAAAACAAGUAUUUAUAGGCCAUUUCAACUUCAUAUAUAUAUAUAUUAUAUAUAUAUAUAUAUAUAAUAUAUAUAUUUAAUUGUCACAAAUUGAACAUACCCACAAAACUAGCAUCCAAAUCAAGAAUGCAAAUACUGCCAACAUUCCAGAAGUUUCUAUAAUACUUCAUUCAGAUCACUACCUGCCUGCUCAAAAGAUAACCAUUACAGCCAGGCGUGGUGGCUCACACCUGUAAUCCCAGCACUUUGGGAGGCUGAGGCAGGUGGAUCAGCUGAAAUCAGGAGUUUGAGACCAGCCUGGCCAACAUGGUGAAACCCCAUCUCUACUAAACAUGGAAAAAAAAAAAUUUAGCCGGGCGUGGUGGCGCACGCCUGUAAUCCCAGCUACUCUGGAGGCUGAGGUGGGAGAACUGCUUGAACCUGGGAGGCAGAGGCUGUAGUGAGCCGAGAUUGUGCCACUGCACUCCAGCCUAGGCGACACAGCAAGACCUGGUUUCAAAAAAACAAACAAACAAACAAACAAAAAAACUAUUACUCUGAAUUUUUGCCUUUUUUACCUUCUGUAGUUUAUUUUUUUCUUAGCCCUGAUUCAAUUAUAUCAGGCAUUGUUAAAAUUGAAUUAAAAUCUGAACACAGUGAAAUGUACAAAUAUUAAGUAUACAAUUUGAUGAGCUUUACAAAUGUACAUACCUCCAUACAUAUCUCAAUAGCGAUAGAGUCAUCCAAGAAAAUUUCCUUGUGCUUUCUUAUUAUAGUCAGUCCAUACACACCAUAGACAAAAACGUUUCCUGAUUUCCAUUACCUUAAAUUUAUUUUGCCCAAUUUUAGCCUGUCACAUAAAUGAAAUCAUGUAGCAUGCGUAUUCUGGGGGAGUCUGACUUCUUUCGCAAUCAAGAUGUCAUUUCAAAAUUUCAUCCAUGUUUCCUCAUAACUCGGAGGCACCAGCUAGCUAAUUGGGAACGAUGGUUUGUAGAGUUCCUAGAAUAACAAAGCUGAAUACAGAAAGCUGAGUUUGAAGCAGAGACACAAUAGCUUAAGAACUGGCACAAGCCAAGAGGUAAAUAUAAAGGUUAUUAUAAUAAUUGGUGACUUCAAAAUAGCUGUGGUAGCCUCAGACCAGAAGCUAGCUCAAACAAACAAACAAACAAACAAACAAACAAACCAAACACCAGCAUAGAAACACUGAGAUAACUGACAUCAGAAUUUGGAAGUUGGAAGAUAUUUCCACUAACUAUAAGGUUAAUGGAACUAGGUUGGGAAAAGUAAUUAUGCACUUGGAAAUAGUUUACUUAUGUAGUGGAGCAGAGUCCACAACAAAAGACAGAAAUAAAUUUCAUUUAAAGUCUGACCCAGAGAACCCAGGUUUCUACUAACUGGAAAACCAGAUAGUUACCAUUAUGAUGGACAGUUGAUACAUUCUGAGGAGGUUUUUGUACCCUUGCCCAUAGUUUUACAGCCAUUUGGGGAUUUCAGUUCUAAGAAAUCAGUGCUGCAGAGAGUCAGAAAGACUGAAAAUUGUGUAGAAGUAUACAGUAUUGCAACCUGUAAGCAAUUUUAUAAAAAAAAAAAAUCACUUUCAGCAGGGUGGAUAUGAGAAUAUUCUUGGAAAUAGUGAAUUCUCAACAUCAUGUUGUUCUUUAUUUUAAAUUAUCAGAAAACUAAGCAAUAAUCUUAUUUGAGGCUGCAUACAAGAAACCUGUGUUCUAUGAAUGCAAUUGUCUUAUGAGAAUAGAACAGAAUACCGUACUCUAAAGAUAAACUUGUCAAGUGUAGAUAUGGGCAAGCCUAGAUUUAACCAGUGCUUAUGUAAAAAGUAUGCCCAGGUGGGGAUAUUCUUAUAUAUUCUUGGUUGGUGAAAAUAAUGGAUAUGAAUAAAAUAUUUUUCUUGCUAUAUCUGUAAUAAAUAAUUUAAUAUAAUAAAACAAAGGUAGUACAGUUUCUAUACAAUUUUCUAUAAAGUGAAGAAAGUGAUACCAUAAAAAUGCAUGAGAAAAGCAAAUACCUGAAAGUUAUCUACUGCAGAAACCCAAAUAAAUUGGUAUAUUUUUUCAUAUAAAAAGUGGACUUUAUGAAAGAAAAACAUAAAUGAGUAAGCGAAAAAUAGGCUGUUUGCCUAAAUUUAAGAAUUUUUGGUUGAAAUUAGUAGAAAUCCAUUUCUACCAAGAUGGAAAGGAGGGAGUAGGUGAACAGGGAGCUUUUAUGAAAGUACCCAGGGCUGUGCCACAGAAUUCAAGGGUAACCAAUCUGCUGAAGGGACUCUGCAGAAAAUGGAAAGUCUCCGGGAAUCUAGCGUGAAGUCACAGCACUGCUCCUUUAGGUAUAUGUCUUUGCAUUUGCCUCAGUUUUCUGUCCACUGGGCAGCUGCACAAGCAAUGCAAGCCUGACAAUGUUCUGGGCAAUGUUGUCUGGAACUCCAGAGCAAACAUCGCUUGCCAGUGUUGUUCCCUAUCGAGAUGAAAUGUCCAGGCCUUUACAUCCUCACCUCCGCUUAUAACUGGAUAUGGACUGUCCUGGGUGACAUGUGACCUUCAGGGAGGCAGCUGUCUGCCGCUGAGACAAACCACAGAAAGGUGACAGUUGGAGAUGUCUACAGACUGCGUUCCCUGAAGCCUGGCAGCGAGCACUUUCUCGAAGGGGCAUCUAGAAGGAACAUCCCCCUGACUACCACAAUGCACUCCCUUUGCCUCUCGGAUUCACUUUUUCAUAUACUUUCAGCAAUUAGCUCUCCAUGAAUUCACGACACUCUUUUUUUUGGAGAGUAAAAGUAUAACAGAUUAGUUAAGUGAACUAUAGCCCUGGUGCUGUACUUAAUUUUCAGGGACCAAGUGAUACUUAUAGACUCCUUCUUCCACUUUUCAUUUUCUUUCCCCUUUAUCCUCAGCUACUCCCUCUGCUGGCCUCACCGAUGACUUACCUCAUGAUGAGACCGAGACCAUCAUCCCUGAGGGUGUGACUUCCUGUUCAUCACAGCUUCUCUGGCCAGAUUGCCGUAUCUGUCUUUUUGCAAUUGUCACAAUUGGGUGAAGAAUUACCAAGACCUACUUAACUAGAUUAUCUGGGUGCCACGAAUAUUCACUGCUCCAUUGCAUAACACCACUUUUGCCUUUUCAUCAACAUGAAGGUCAAUUACCAUUGCCAAGAUUGUGACUCCACUUCUUGUCUGCUUGUCCUUGAAACAAAAACCUCAGAGUGCCCAGGGGACAGCUGUGCCCGGUUUCUAGCUCAGUUGGAAACUUGCUUUUUCUAACCCCUUGGGGAACCUGGAUGUCUACUCUAAAGCGUCCAGAGUCGCAGGCAUGGGAAGUACAAAGUCCCAUGGUGGGUCAUGAGAAUAAUGACCUCUGCUUCCCUUCCUUAUAUCACAAAACCAUGUACUCUUUCUUUAGGCCACAGAAUCACAUAAUGGUGUUUGAUGCAAUGUAUAUCCUACCUCCUAGAGGAUGGCAUCUAUAGUAGUCUGUUCUCACGCUGCUAAUAAAGACAUACCAGAGACUGGGUAAUUUAUAAAGAAAAAGAGGUUUAAUGGACUCACCGUUCCAUAUGGCUGGGGAGGCCUCACCAUCAGGGCAGAAGGCAAAAGGCACAUCUUACAUGGCAGCAGGCAAGAGAGAACAUGUGGAGGGGAACUCCUGUUUAUAAAAUCAUCAGAUCUCAUGAGACUUAUUCACUAUCACGAAAACAGUAUGGGAAAAACCCGCCCCCAUAAUUCAAUUACCUCCCACCAGGUGCCUCCCACCAGGUGCCUCCCAUGAUAUAUGGGGACUAUCACAAUUCAAGGUGAGAUUUGGGUGGGGACACAGACCCAAACCAUAUCAGCAUCUCAUCUCCACAGAAUAUGGCCUCUAGACUGGGGAUUCAGAAAUGUAUCCGCCAUUGCUUCAGUUCUGUAUCAGGCCAGCAGGUCCUGGGUGGUGAUCUUAUGUGAUCUGAGCAGUGGAUCUCAAGGUCAGGGCCUACUUAUAUCCUGAAAAGUGGGUCCAUUGAUCUCAGGUGAUAUUAGACAGGAUCCUGGCUAGUAAAUUAAACACCGUAAAUGGUAAAAUAGUGGUGCUUGUUGAGGCUCUUAGGGCAAGAGAAAUCGAUCUCCAGAAUGUCUUUUUAUAUUUCUGUGAGAAUAGACUGGUGGCUAUCCGUAUAUGAAAGAGCCUAAGGUGGUCACUUUCCCAGCAAGUGGCUGGAUGGUGGCCUAGAAGAAUAGUGCCGUGGUGAGGGGUCAGCCUUAGUGCUUAUUGCUAUCAGGUUGGCUGUUUGGCAAUGGAAAUAGCUAGAUUAUCCAUGAAAAGUGAGAAUCCUCUCUGUUGGGCCCAUUCAUAUUUUCCAUGUCUACUACAGUGACCACUUCUUUUGCGUGCCUAUUGUGUUAAUUCUGAAGCAGUCAACGGCAGAGGCUGAUGGAUGUCAACCUACCAGUCAUUUUGUCUAGUUGGUUAUUUAAUUCAACAACUGAGACAAAAUGUUCUUUGGUAUCUGUUAAUAUGUUAUAAAAAGAUCAUCAUAGUUUGUGCCCACUCCCAUGUGUCUAUCUUCAUGCCUCUAACCCUGAGUUCUUUGCCUCAUAUUUUCCAAUCCUUUUCUUUCUAAGCCUCUGAACAACUAGCCAGGCCUUACCCUCUGGCCGUAAGGCCAUAGACUUGCUAAUACCAUGGUCCUUUUUUGUGUGUAUAAAGUACAUGAUAAGAUGCUGCUCCUGAAACUCUGCCCACUGGGAGCAUUUUCCCCAGCUCUGUCUUUCAUGAUCACCCCAGAAAGCAGCAUACAGAAGCUGCUAUCUAUUUUUGAUUUGUAAACACAUACUGAGCCAGCUCAUCUGUAAUUUAAAUGGGCAUUUUGCUCCUUUCUUAAAGUGCUCCUACAUCCAGGCAAGAGUUGAAAGAAGAGCAUGGGGUGUUGAAAGCCACAGAUUUCUGGUGAGCUUCCCUUUUAGGAGACACAUUUAAGGUUUUUUGCUGCAUAAUGGGCAGGUAUAAUGUAAACUUUUUCUUUCUUUUCUACAAAAGCUUCAGUAAAUUUUCCAUCACUUAAGAAUGCUUUGUUCAAACAAAGUCUUCUUGGGAUUUUCAAAGAAAUGAAAAUGUUGAAGCUGACACUUUGAUUACUGACACUUUGAUUACACUUUCAGUGUAGAAAAGUAACUUGAUUUUUAAAUGACUGUUGAAGAGAUUAAUGGAAGGAAGAGAGUAAAGACAGGUUUUUGAGUGGAUAUUAGAACAAAAUGAAAAUAUUUUUGAUCAGGAAGAUUUCAGAAAGCUAAAAAUGACUUAUAAGACUGAAUAAUGGUCUCCAGAGAUGUUCAUGUCUUAAUCCCCAGAAUCUGUGACUGUUAGUUGAUAUUGCAAGAGGAACUUUGCAGUUGUGAUAAAGUUAAACGAGGAGAUUAACCAAGAUUACCCAGGUGGGCCCCUCUGAAGUCAGAAGACAAUGUAAUUACAGAAGCAAAGGGGUAAGUCAGAAGACAAUGUAAUUACAGAAGCAAAGGGGUAGAGAAUGAGACUUGAAGAUGUUGCGCUUCUAGCUUUGAAGACGUCUAGAAAGGCAGUCUCUGGAAACCGGGAAGGGCAGGGAAGCAAAGUCUCCCUGGAUCCUGCAGAGGACAGAGCCCUGGUGAUGCAUUUCAGACUUCUACCCUCCAGAAGGAUCAAAUUCUACAAAUAUGUGUCCUUUCAAGCCCCUAAACUAGUGGGCAUUUGUUAUAGCAGCAGUAAAAAAUGAAUACCAUGUGCUAUUUUGAAAUCUGACUUUUGUGAGAAGCCAGUUAAGUAUUUAUUUUGUUAACAAUUGGCUUUUGUGCUCACUGGAGGUUAAAAAUAUUUUUGUCAUUAAUACACUUUGAAUACUCAGUCCUAAGUAAUAUAAGUAGCGUGACCUUUUUUGCCCUUUCCCUCUCCAGGCACAACAUGAAGAAUAACUCAAUGAUUUGCCGAAAAGAAGAGAAAUAUAUUAUCCCUUCAGUUCCUAAACUUACUUGUUUUCUCAUCUUCAAGAACGAAAGUAAUUCAGCAUACACAUAUAGCAUAUUAAUAUUCUUUAUAAAUUAUAUUCAUGUACAACUAUAUAAUGUAUAAUCAUAUUCAUGUACUACCUGUACAAACAAAUUUACACAUUUAAAAUAUAAAAAAUAAGAUGAAAAUGGAAUCAAUGUAUCACAAGUGAUUGAAAUAUCUAAUACUUUCUUUCAGCAAAUCACUGGAUCAUACUGCAGAUUCCUUGAAUUUCUGCUCCUCUCAUUACAAACUGUUGUAUUAGAUGACCAAUAUAUAUCUUUUCCUACCAUUUAAUGAUUCUCUCCUUUUUCUACUGUGAGCUUGUUUUGUUGUUAAUGACAAAUACAGUACAGAUUUAGUUAGCUGCUGUGGAGUAUGAGGCAGAAUAAGCAAUGUGACUAAUCCUUAUUGUGCAUUCUCAAGCUGACUCCCAGUACUCUCUUUUCAUGCCUCCUGAGCACUAUACUUAUUAACAUUGUCUACUUCUGCAGUAUUUUAGUGAAAGGUAUUAGGAUGCAAUAUAUUUUCUUUUUAACAUGCAAAGGUGAUGAAUGAAAAUUAUAUGAUCAUUUGGUUAAUGAUAUUAAUUUAUCAGUGUGAAUAUGUAUUUUAAAAAAUCACAUACUGUUACUGCAGGAAAUAAAUUGAAGUUUCUUAUAUUUUGAAAAAAAAUCAGAUAAUAUACAUGCCAUAACUAAAAUGAUACUUUGUUGAAAGAAUCUAUUUUAAUCAGAGUAUGAGGAU